GAUCAUGGCUCAGGAUGAACGCUAGCUACAGGCUUAACACAUGCAAGUCGAGGGGCAGCAUUGGAGUAGCAAUACGUCAGAUGGCGACCGGCGCACGGGUGAGUAACACGUAUCCAACCUGCCGCUUACUCGGGGAUAGCCUUUCGAAAGAAAGAUUAAUACCCGAUGGUAUAAAGAGUUCGCAUGUUCUCUUUAUUAAAGAAUUUCGGUAAGCGAUGGGGAUGCGUUCCAUUAGAUAGUUGGCGGGGUAACGGCCCACCAAGUCUACGAUGGAUAGGGGGUUCUGAGAGGAAGGUCCCCCACAUUGGAACUGAGACACGGUCCAAACUCCUACGGGAGGCAGCAGUGAGGAAUAUUGGUCAAUGGACGAGAGUCUGAACCAGCCAAAAGUAGCGUGAAGGAUGACUGCCCUAUGGGUUGUAAACUUCUUUUAUAAGGGAAUAAAGUGAGGGACGUGUCCCUUUUUGUAUGUACCUUAUGAAUAAGGAUCGGCUAACUCCGUGCCAGCCGCCGC
rnacentral:rRNA from 1 species